AUUUCUGAAACUUCCAUCAAUAAUUAAUGUCAACUGUGACAAAGCCAGAAAGUGCUCAUAGUCCAAACACUGUUCAACACGGGCUGGUGCCCAGCCUUCGAAUCAUAAUUUACAAAAUUCUAUUACUCUGUGCUCCCAGCACAGGCACAGCCAGGAGACAAGAGAAGGAAAAUGACUAACGUGGCUGCAAAUCUGCUGCUCGCAUGGCAUUUUGCUACAGAAGCAGGUCUGCACUGAGCGAUUUAAAGCCAUCUCGGUACAACCGCGACACUUUGGGAGUGCUCUGAAAUGUCCUGGUGUCAGCUCCUUGCCAUACUCCUCUCUGGGCUUAUUACAUGAACAGUACAAAGCUCCCCACAAGCUACACUGCCUUACAGAAGUUACAGAGAUAUCAGGUUGAAGAGCAGCUUUGUCCUCAUUUCUACUCUCGUCCAUCACAUGGAAUCCUGGACUAUUCUCAACUUCUUUCCCACAUACUUUGCCUACUCAAACGCUCCAGGAGGCUGAGAGGAGAAAAAGAACAAGAAAAAAAGAACGACUGAAAAGUACGUAGUUUCUUUUCGCUGACAAAAAUAUCCUUUCCCCAAUCUAACAGUUACUCAUGUUCCUCAGUGCCUCCCACCAGGGCCACCCUCACCCAGCAAUGAAUCAACACACAUUCCCAGCCUCUUGUCUCCUAUUCCAAGUGACUGCUGGCUACAGAGGCCAGUCUAGAAAUUCCUCAGAACAAAACCCAUAUCCCAGGGCCCGAUAAUCAUUUCCAAUAAUAUUCCUCUCGUUUAUACCAUGUAUCACAUAGUAAGCUAACUUUUGGCUGCAUUGGCCAAGGUGACUUGAGGUGAAUACAUUAGGGUGCAAUGUUAGGACUGAAAGGGCCUCCAGCAUCACACACAACACUCAGUACUUUCUGAAAUUGGGUCCUUGCAGCUCGGGAGCCAAUCUUCUCAAUUCUGUGUUCAAAAGCAUCACUUUGACUGCUAUAGUCAGCAAUGAUUGGAGUCAUUACACCAUGGAAGCCUACAAGUUCUACAAAUCAGAGAUAAUCCUCCCUGCCCCUUCAAAAGUCAGUGCUUGAACAUUUACCAGCAUGCAGAUUGUUUUCAGCUAUCUUAUAUGGACACUUACUGUGCUCCAGAGCCUAUAUUAACUGGCUCCUAUGCUCCAGUCUUCCUAGCAACCUAAAUCAAGACAACAAAAUUGCCAGAGCACCUCACUCUGACUUGCCUCAUUGCUUCAGCCCUUCUUCCUCUUUCACCUGAGAAUUCCCAGUCACUCUCCUAACAUAUGACCCAUUGCUCCUUACCAAGCCAAUGCUGGGUUCCUCGAGGAUGCCAUUAAAAAACCCUCCACAGUGUAUCAGGCAAGAGAAUUCUAUUUCUUUACUGCCCUUUCCAUGCCCACUACAGACUUGUUUCACAGAGCUUUGCUCUUUGAAUAAGCUAUAUGAAAACACUCAUAUUCAAUUUUUUUUGAGACAGGGUCCCUCUAUGUAGCCAUGGAUAUCCUGGAAACUCAUUAUGUAGAGCAGGCUGUCCAGGAACAAACGAGGUCCUGCCUCCUGAGUGCUGGGAUCAAAGGCAUACAUCACCAUACCCAGCAUAUUCAAUAUUUUAACUUAUAAAACAUGGGCUAGAGUCAUUUUGAAAUCACUGUGCUAUGAGAGGACCAUUUUCUUGCUUCUGAAAGCCCUGGUUCUACUUCAGAAAGAGUAUUUUCCAAACAUGUUUGCUCACACAAGGAGCAAAUGGCUGAACUCAGAGAUAAACUAAAAGACAGAACUUGUUACAAUGCCUCCAUCUAGUUACUUGGCCAUGGGUUGAGGGAACCUCAGUAUUGCAAUAUCAAGCAGAAUACCGUAACUGGCCAGCUGAGUGGACAAGGUUUUAGUCACUGGAACUCCCAGAGGCAGUAGUCAGUUUCCCUGUUAACCAUUUAAAACCAACAAUGUCCUCAGGACCAAACUCCAUUUGGAUAUUGAAAGUCUCUAGUUUAACUUUACACACGAGUUAGGAGAUUUUUAACAGGACACAAUAAUGACUUGUAUUAAUGAUGAAAAACAGUUCCUCUUAAUUAUCCAAACUAUAUUGCACACAUAUAUAAAUAGUAUCCAUAAAAGUAAAGUAAAAUUCCAAAAUAGCAUUCUGAUGACUUGGUGUUUGUAGAAAGUCCCCAAAAAUGUCCUAACCAAGGAGCUCAUUUGCAAGUGUCCCUCAGUCUAGAGCAAUGGCCAGCUGGUAACCAAACAAGAAAAUGUUGGGCAUCUCUAAACUACAGCUCAUCACCUUUCUUAUUUAUGUGUUCAUUUAUCCCAAGCCUAUCUGAAGUAUAACUGACAAAUUAAAAUUAUACAAAUUUAAGCUGCUCAUGGGAUACCUGAUGCAUAUACACAUUGUGAAAUCAUUAAAAUAAUCAAACAAGUCUGAGUAUCGGCAACAAUAUGGUGAAUCCAGAGGAUAUUAUACUAAAUGAAAUAAGCCAGAUAUAAAAUGUGAAUACUGUACUGUUCAGUUAAAUGGGAAAACUAAAAAACCUUGAUCACAUAAAAACAGGGAAUGGUGGUAUUUAUGGGGCAGGGUCAGUCAAUGUAUCUAAAUAUUAUUUAUAAAGUGAAUAUGUUCUGGAAAGUUUAUCUGUUCUGUGUUAAAUAUAAUUAAUAUACUACAUACUUAAAAUCUGCCAAGAGAAAACAUUUUAAAUGUUCUUACCACAUACACAAAAAUGAUAACUAUGUAAGGUGAUGAGUUGACUGGUGUCUAAAUCAGGAUUUCUAUUCCUGGACAAAACAUCAUGACCAAGAAGCAAGUUGAGGAGGAAAGGGUUUAUUCGGCUUACACUUCCAUACUGCUGUUCAUCACCAAGGGAAGUCAGGACUGGAACUCAACCAGGUCAGGAAGCAGGAGCUGAUGCAGAGGCCAUGGAGAGAUGUUCUUUACUGGCUUGCCUCCCUUGGCUUGCUCAGCCUUCUCUCUUAUAGAACCAAGACCACCAGCCCAGAGAUGGUCCCACCCACAAGGGAACCUCCCCCCUUGAUCACUAAUUGAGAAAAUGCCUUACAGCUGGAUCUCAUGGAGGCAUUUCCUCAACUGAAGCUCCUUUCUCUGUGAUAACUCCAGCCUGUGUCAAGUUGACACAAAACUAGCCAGUACAACUGGUACUGAGAGCAUCUUUCUUAGGUCUGAAGACUCUCUGGCCUUUAAGCUAAGAAAGUUCUUGAACAAAGUCAGGUUAGCAUUGUGCCCAGGCUUGAAAUGUUGAACUGUUUCUAUCCAGUACCAGCUUAUCAGAAACCAUCAAGAUUACCUAUUAUCUCCUUCUUGAUUUGACUAAACUAUGUCAUUAAGUACCCAGAUAAUUUACAUACCAAGUGUUUGACCUUAAAGUCACUCUAAGGGUCAUUUGUGGAAGCUAGGAAAGGCUGUAUUUUAAGCCACAUUUGUUGUUCUUGACUUGUGGUUAAAGAAGUUAUAGUCUAAUUCUAUUCAUCCUAAUUAUGACAGAAGGAAAAUCUAUUUCUCAUUUCAGAAGAAUGCAAUUAUCAAGUGAUGAAACACUCUCAAAUUACAUAUGAGUUUGCAACAACUUCAUUAAAAUUUUCAUCAUCAUUUUAAUGGUUUAUUGAAGCAUUCACUGAAAUGUUUCAAAUAUACUAAGUUUAUUUCCUUUUUUAUACUAUGAUAUCAGGGAUCAGGAUUAGAGUAACCACCUGAAUAAUUCCAUGAUUUUGUUGUCAUUGUCCAGGGGGGAAAAACGCAUAUUAAGAGCAAAACUAAAAAUGGAAAAAGUGAAACCUUUCAAAUUCUAGUCACAAUACUUAUUUAAGUGCUUAUCAGAGGACCACAUAGGCAAAAAUGUUACUUCAGUUAGAUCUAUAUAAAUGCUGUCUCCAAAUAGUCUCAUUCUCACAGACUAAGUCACAGAGCAGUCUUAUGCAGAGGGCUUGACAUGAGUUAAGUUUUACUGCCACAAUACAACCUUGCAUGAAUCCACCCAUGCAGUUGCUCAAAUUCUGUGGGAGGCAGGAAGGCAUGUCUUGCUCAUAUCAGACUCUCUCCAACUCUCUAAGAUGCCCCAUGGGGAGCUGGCAUUCAAGAACAUAUUUUUGUACUAGAUGCGUGGUUUUAUUUUAGUUUGUGCCCUACUAACUCUAUGAAAGACCGUGUUUUAUUUACCAAUGUAAAUAUUUGUAAUUAGCUCCUUUAAAAAUAAGUGACUUUUAAAAAUGGAUAUUUAUUAGUUUAGUGUGCGAGAGUGUGUGUGUGUGUGAGAGAGAGAGAGAGAGAGAGAGAGAGGGAGCAUAUGUGUGAAAAUCAGAGGACAACUUAUAUGAUUUGAUCUGGGACAAAUAUGUGGUGCCAGGGAUUUAACUCAGGUCAUAGUAGCAAGAGUCUGCUUGCCCCUUGAGCCAUGCUUGCCCACUGAGCCACACCACUGGCCUCCUUUGAAUUUUUAAUGAGUUACAUACAUUCAAUUAGAUGCAUAUUUAGAAAACAUUGAAAAAUCUUGACAGUUCCAUUUUUUAAAAAUCUGUAUAGUGUUCCCAACAGCAGUAGCUAUACUAAGUGAAGAGGUAAGUUAAAAAGGAAGGGAAGAGAGCGAGGAAGAAGAUGGAAAGGGAGAGAAGAGGGGAGGAAGAGAGAGAGGAAAGGGGGAUGAGGGAAAGAAGACAGGAGGCAUGGAAGAACGGAGAGGGGAAGGGAAGAUGAGUAGAGGAGGAAGUUGUUUAAGAUGUCACAAACAUGGAUGGACUCAAGUGCUCUUUAAGUUCUGUUUCUUAGUGUCUCCUAGACAUAACAGGACCACAGGACCAAGGCUCUCAUAAACUGAUAACAUCUGUGGUCACCCACACAAGACCUGCACAGGCUCAAGCCUCUCAAUAUUCUAGCAUGGAUUGAGAAGGCAUUAAUGAACUACCACCCCUAACAGAGGAACUAUGGACCAGCAAUGGCUUCUGGGAGAAGAAGAGUCAGUUUUCUUUAAGGGUGUGACCCCUGGUAGGUUGGCCACCCUCUAGUGGAUAGCCCCACAAUCGGGGGUAUAUAGACAGCACGACUGCACACAAAGUCACAGGGGUGUAGGAAGGUGAGGGUGCAUCUGGGAAGAACUGAGAGAAGGACUGGAAAGCUAAUAUGAAAAAAAUACAUUAUAUAAAAUUCUCAAAGAUUAAAAAAAUCUGUCUCUUCAAAUGUAUUUUCACAUAAACUUUUAACAUGCCACAGAAUUCCAGCAGACCUAACUGCCUGCCUCUUGUAGGGAAUUUUCAUUUCUUUCAACAAAAAGCAGAUGCAACCCUUACUACCCAUGCAAGCAUCAACAUCUCCUUCAGCAAACAAAUUAGCAAGGAAUAGAAUAACCAUUUUUCAGUUGUCUUCAGAUUUUUAUUUUUCAGGCCAUAAUCUAUGAAACCCCUGAGCAGAGGAAGCAGGAGACUGUAUUCCACAAUUGUGGAUGAGAAUACUUUCAAUCAUAUGGGAAUUUCCUUGUUGAGCUUGUCUGCAGAUAUGUGUCCUCAAGUUCAGUGCACUCUCUUAGCAAGGAAAGAUUUUCCUCUUUGGGUCACUGGCGCACAUUGCAUUCUGAGCAGGUCCCCGUUUACUCCACUGUCUGGUUAAUGUCUACCCAAACUAUCCAAAAACCAUCUGCAACUCAGCUAACCACCUAACAACACACAUCACUAGGACCCAUUAUCUUUUAUAAUGUUGACUCUUGGUAUCCAAGGCCUGUGGUCCAGACAGACUAUUUAAAGGCAUUAAAAUAACAACAGAGUUGGCAGCUGUGGGUAUAGCCACCAAGACUACUAUCGGGUCACAAGGCCAGAUGGAACAGAUGCCAGGGACAAGACUAAAAAAGCAGAGAGGAGAUUCAUUUAAGAACUUUUGAAGCACACUAGGCAGGGAAAGCCAGGAUUUUUGAGAGAACCGAUAACUAGCACAGUGUGAAUUAUUAACACAUUGGUACCUUAAAAGAAUCGUACUAUCCCAAGGUCCCUAACCAACUGUUGAGUUGACCUUUGCAUUUUAUUUCCUUUCUUGUCAAAUUAUAUCUAGGACAAGGUUAAAAUUUUCAGUGUAAUUUUUUUAAGCAUAGUACUGAGGCUAGGAAGAUGACUCAGCAGUUAAAAGCACUUGUUCUUGCACAGAAACAGCAUUUGAUUCUAAGGAUGAACCAGACUUAUGUAUGCAUCUGCAGAGUGUGAAACAGACACACUCCUUAGAUACCAGCUGCUCAAAUCUGAUGCUUUGGGAAGGAGGCACCUCCUCCUCAGCACUUGUGAGCAGGUGGCACCCUCUGCCUCCAAACACACAUGCACCAGGCACCAGACUUCUGCAUUCGGCCCUUCCUUAUUCCUCUUGUCGUUUUUUAAAUAUUUAAGUUCCACCUAGCAGGGAUUUAAGUAAAUACAACACAGUUAUGCAGAGGACUGAAACACAAUGAUUCCUUUCAUGUGGCUGCAUUUCAAUGAACUGCAAUAAAGGUAAUAGAAGAACUGCAUAAAGGUAGGAAAAAUGAAGGAGACUUCAGGAGUAAAGUAAAAUAGGGAGGGGGUAAAAGGUGGGUAAAGGGGGCCUGGAGAGAUGGCUCCAUGGUUAAGAGCACUGAUUGCUCCUCCAGAGGUCUUGAGUUCAAUUCCCAGCAACUACAUGGUGGCUCACAACCAUCUGUAAUGGGAUCUGAUACCCUCUUCUGAUGUGUCUAAAGACAGCUACAGUGUACUCACAUACAUAAAAUAAAUAAUAUUUUAAAAAAUAAAAUCUGGGCCUUUUGUAUGUGCCUGUAACAUCUGUACUCAAGAGUGUAGGCGAGCAGGCCAUAGGGAAAGCUAUGUCAAGACUGACAUAUGAGUGAGCGGGGAGGGGAUAGGGGGUUUUUGGAGGGGAAACCAGGAAAGGGGAUCACAUUUGAAAUGUAAAUAAAGAAAAUAUCUAAUACAAAAAAAAAAAAACCUAACAUCUGAAAGAAGCCAGUUGGCAGAAAAAGACUAGAAGUCCUUCUAGAUCUGGCUACAUUCAACAAACAGCAUUUCCCACAAACAGGACCACGGUCUACAUAUAUGGGAGAGGAGAGGCGAGUGCUAUGUGAAUGACCUAUACAGGGGUCUCAUGCCCAGCAAGUCUUAGGUACAUGCUUCUCCCUCCGCUCACUCCUUAGCCGAUUCUCAUUCUGACACAUGCUUCCUUUUCUUAAUAAAUGGUUGCCAUUCCUAUUCAUAACCAUUUGACCCCAGAGCAGGAUCCUGGAAACGUUAGCAGGCAUCCUGGAAGUCUAUCUGUCCUUACAAUAUUUGGAGAACCAUCAGCAGGAAGGUAUGGUCUGUGCUGUUUCUAAUUUCUCACUUCCUAAUAUGCCGACGUGGCCAGUUUUGUUUUCCCAGAGUGCCUGGAGAUCUUGCGAGGGUAGGGUGCCCCUCCAUUUCUCUUGUCUCCUUUCUACCCUUUCGUUCUUCCUGAGUUAACUGUGAGCCACAGCCACAGCUGAAGACCCAAAGUGUUCUAGGACCCUCUCUGCUAUUCUACAAGAAUAUUAGCUGAAUUUAUGCUGGGAUAAAAGAGUGGUCUUAACAUUUGUGGUCUGGACCCACGUGGGUGAUAUAAGGUACCAAAAGAAAAUGGCAUUUCAAUAUUUUUCAGACUUAAUCUUGAGGGAGAGAGACGAUGUCGAUAAUUAGUUAAAACAGAAGCAUAGAAAUGGAUAAGUACAGAACUGUUGGGCAUUCAAACCAAAACUCUCUAACCCUCUUGUAACUGUGGAAAGACAGCUGGCUGCCUAAGAAAACAGGCUGAGGGAGCCCUGAGGAGCAAGUAAGUAGAGUUCUUCCACAGCCUUUGCUUCAGCUCCUGUCUCCAUAUUAUUGCCUUGCAUUCCUGACUUCCUUAGAUAAUGGACCACAAGCUGUAAGAUGAAAUGAACCCUUCCUUUCCCACAUUGAUUUUAGUCAUGGGGUUUUAUCACAGCAAUAGAAACUGCAUGCCAUGUGUUUUAUGCAAACCCCUUCAAGAGGGUCCAACAGGAUAAAGGGAUGCAACAACAACAACAACAACAACAACAACAACAACAAUAAUAACAAACAGGGAGGGAACUGGGUGCUGCAGGGCAGCAUGGAGCAAGCUUCCCCCAUUCAUCUACUCCUGCGUCUACAGCACUGCCCUUAAGGCAAUUCCUGGGCCCCCAGGGAUAAUUAGUGCCCAUGUUCCUUCUCUGUAGCAUCCCUAAGGAUGCUUGAAACAUCACUGCACACUCAGUACAUACUGGCCACACCUAAAUAUGUCUCCUCUCUUGGUUUUCUCGGCCACCUGGGACUUUCAAAAACCUAAUCCCUCCUCUCCCCCCAUCAAAAAUGGCUCUUGUCUUCCUGCACAUCCCAAAUACAAAAGACUUCUGCCAGCCCUGCUGCUUUACUUUGCAUUGCUUUGCUUUCACUGCCCAAAGACUCAGGGUAAAACUUGCUAGCCCAGAUAGCCACUGUCAACAAAAGAAAAAGCUCUCACCUCACGGGAACAAAAAACGUACUUUAUUCUGGAGCCAAAUCCAUGGGACCAGGGAUAGGGAACAGAGACUCAGAUUUUUCCAAAUAAACAAGAUUCCAGUCAGGCAGCAAUUUCAUGACGUUUUUAUAGUGACAAAAUAAAGUCAUAAGAUGGCACACUUUUUAAAUGUUUUGGUGGGUACAUCAGGCAGGAGGGUUACAGCAAAGUAGAGAACUUAGCUGCAGACCUUGGAUGCUAAUAGCAUUCUUAGCCCUUGGGCUAGUCGGAAAACUCUUGUUUAAACAUUCCAAAGAUUUGUUAAGUGGCCAGAAAGAUACUAAAUUCCUACAAGUGAGCACAGUAAAUGACUGGGAAGUGGACUAAAGAUGCCCCAGGAUAAUUUUUUCCUGGACUUGUAACAUUGCAACCUCUCUGUAUCACUGAAGUUCUAAUCAUCCCAUCACCACCUUUCCAGAAUUCUCCUCCAUGUUGUGCUAGCCUAGCAAAUUCCCAGAGGAACCCAGGCCCCUCUCAUUCAGUAAUUCAGCUCUGCCUUCUCAGUGUUGAACAACCAAGGCCUGAAAAGAGACCAGCCAAACAAGAUUAACACUAUGUACUUAAGGGACCCAGUGAGAUAGACAGACAGGAAAACAGAAGGCAUCUUAACCAAAGAUAAGGGGAUACAACCUUCAGUGUCAAGUGUGGUUGUACACUGUUUGUUUUCAGGUAACUGAAUAUAUGAUGUCUUCUCUUUGCCCUGAAGA